rnacentral:lncRNA from 1 species
UUUCGAGGUAGGAGUCGACUCCUGUGAGGUAUGGUGCUGGGUGCAGAUGCAGUGUGGCUCUGGAUAGCACCUUAUGGACAGUUGUGUCCCCAAGGAAGGAUGAGAAUAGCUACUGAAGUCCUAAAGAGCAAGCCUAACUCAAGCCAUUGGCACACAGGCAUUAGACAGAAAGCUGGAAGUUGAAAUGGUGGAGUCCAACUUGCCUGGACCAGCUUAAUGGUUCUGCUCCUGGUAACGUUUUUAUCCAUGGAUGACUUGCUUGGGUAAGGACAUGAAGACAGUUCCUGUCAUACCUUUUAAAGGUAUGGAGAGUCGGCUUGACUACACUGUGUGGAGCAAGUUUUAAAGAAGCAAAGGACUCAGAAUUCAUGAUUGAAGAAAUGCAGGCAGACCUGUUAUCCUAAACUAGGGUUUUUAAUGACCACAACAAGCAAGCAUGCAGCUUACUGCUUGAAAGGGUCUUGCCUCACCCAAGCUAGAGUGCAGUGGCCUUUGAAGCUUACUACAGCCUCAAACUUCUGGGCUCAAGUGAUCCUCAGCCUCCCAGUGGUCUUUGUAGACUGCCUGAUGGAGUCUCAUGGCACAAGAAGAUUAAAACAGUGUCUCCAAUUUUAAUAAAUUUUUGCAAUCCA